rnacentral:rRNA from 1 species
UACGGGGGGGGCAAGCGUUGUUCGGAAUUACUGGGCGUAAAGGGCUCGUAGGCGGCCAACUAAGUCACACGUGAAAUCCCUCGGCUCAACCGGGGAACUGCGUGUGAGACUGGAUGGCUUGAGUUUGGGAGAGGAAUGCGGAAUUCCAGGUGUAGCGGUGAAAUGCGUAGAUAUCUGGAGGAACACCGGUGGCGAAGGCGGCAUUCUGGACCAACACUGACGCUGAGGCGCGAAAGCCAGGGGAGCAAACGGG